GGGCUUGAUGAUGUCAUCAGAAAGGCUUCAGGCCUGUUGUAGUUGAAAUAAAGCUCUUCGAAAAGACAGGCUAGACUCAGAGUUCUCAGUAUGGUGCCAGAAGUGGCUGGAUCCAUGUCUGUGCUCAUAACAGCUCUAACAGCAUCAGCAAACACUACUGGAGUGGAUUCGCAAGACUGAGAAGAUAAGGUUAUUCUGCUGUAAGCACUGAGGCUUACUGCCUGCAGAACUGUGAGGGCCCAGCACUGUCAUGAUGACCCUGCAUCAACAUACUCCAGUCCCAUUCAUGAUGGAAUCCUUCAGGAUUAGAUCCUCAGAGCAGUUUGAUUUUUCCCUCUCCUGCUACAUGGCCAAUGCGUUGAAGCAUCUGUCUAGAUUCAGAGAUGUUUUUUGCGUUGCUUGCAAAGCCUGAACCCUAUCAAGACAGCUCAUAGGCAUUGUUCUACAACUUAAAUGCCCAAGAAAUUGUACGGUCACCGAAGUUACUACUUCCGCCAUAUCUUAUUCUUUCCAUUCUUGCUCAGUUGGGACCACUGCUCUGGACCCUGGAGAAGGAAACUGUGCUACUUGCUACUCCCUCUUCAUAUGUUUGGGACUCGGAAGAUGAAUCUCUAGUUUUCUCACAUCCAAAGGAAACCGACCCCAUAAAGCUGCCCAGGAAUGUUGCAUUGCCUGAGAUAGGUGGAAGUGCAAAAUAAUGUGCAAAAAUUAGGAUAUUUGCUAACAGUGAGAUUUCAUUAUCAGUCCCAAAAUUGCAACCAUUACAUACUUAAUAGGUAGAGGACUAAGAAUUGUCUUUGUAACUGUUAUUAAAAUAUCAAAUGACCUUUAGCUUACAAUGUUCACUUGCGUUUUUAAAAAAUGUGGAAAUUGCAAGUUAAGCUGCACAUCUUAACUUCCAUGUCAUGUAAGCAGUAAAGACUUUGUACAAUU